CUCUGCAAACAUCCAUGUAUUUCUCUUAUGGCAGGAUUCUGAACAAACGCUGAAGGGCAGAAAGGGCGAUGUCCCUUAUGCACCUGAAUUCCCCACAUAUGUACCUGGAGCCCUCAAAACUAGAUGAUUCUAUGGAAUGACAGACUCGCCCUGCCCUGGAUCAGGAGGAAAGAUUCAAAGCCAACCUCAGCUCUGUUCUCAAGCCGCAAAGCGAGACUCGACACCACUCAGCGAUGAAAAGUAUGGGCUCUGGAAAGUCAGAUGAACCUUAAUUUGAAUCUCAGCUCAACCACUUCCUAGAUGUGUGAUCCGGGUGCAGACUUUAUUCAAGCAAUUUCAGCUUUAAUUUCCUCGUGUGUCAAACAGGAGUACCAGUAACGUGGAUGUCAGGAGGUUGGCGGGCAGGGUCUAUGAAUGUAAGCUCCUGAAGCACAGAGAUUUUGUUCACUGUUAUAUCCCCAGUGCCCAGAAGAGUGUCUGCACAUAGUAGGUGCUUAAUCAAUAUUUGAAUGACUAAGUGCCUAUGAAGCAUUAGGAGCAGGGUCUGGCCACGAGGACUCAAUAUUGUGGCUUAUGACAAUGCACUUUACACACAAAGGUAUGGCGGCACAAAAGCAAUUGCCCUUGGGGCUUAGAGCCCCUGCGGAGCUGCUCUUUGUCACUACCUGAAUUCCCGCCCCCUCCCCAGCUGCCGGGGGUGGGGGAAGUGAAAGCAAAUUCUUAGCAGCCUCCAAGAACCAUAUAUCCUGAAAGAAAUCUGUGAAAGCCCACACUUCUGCUUCUAAUUCUAUCCCUACUUACAAUUCUUUCCGGGGCUCCUCCUUGGUUGCUUCAUCUCAAUAAAAAUGGUUCCAAAAGAAAGUCCACAUCCUGGGUGUGAGCCAGUUUUAGUUAAAAGACUCAGAAGACUUUAUCCGCCAAGGAAAAAAGUCUGAAAAAUCCAGAAGUUCAUGGUAGGCAGAGGUUCUCACUGAAAAACAGCAAUAACAAACAAAAAUAAAGGAAAUUAAAAACCCAAACACA
rnacentral:lncRNA from 1 species